rnacentral:rRNA from 1 species
CUUACUCUUACGGGAGGCAGCAGUGGGGAAUAUUCCCCAAUGGGCGCAAUCCUGAUGCAGCCAUGCCGCUUGUAUAUGGAAGGCCUUCGGGUUGUAAAGCCUUCUGCGGGAAGAACGGGUCUUAGAUAAAUAAAGCAGGCUCAUGACGUACCUCGCC